UUAAUGAUAGAUAUGGUGUUGGCAAACAUUUCGUCCGAGGAACUAGAGAUGUCGGAUUUGCCAUUGUUAGUGAAGCUGAGGAUAUUUUGGAUCCUUUCUUGGGUGGUCUCACACAUGGAGUUGGAGAAGGACUUAAAGCUCUUUUGUGUGCCCUUGAAGAUGGUUUCAGUGAUUUCGGAAGUGACUUCGAUUCUGCUACUGACAUCGCUAAACAUGGAU